rnacentral:rRNA from 1 species
GAUGAACGCUGGCGGCGUGCCUAAUACAUGCAAGUCGAGCGAACAGACGAGGAGCUUGCUCCUCUGACGUUAGCGGCGGACGGGUGAGUAACACGUGGAUAACCUACCUAUAAGACUGGGAUAACUUCGGGAAACCGGAGCUAAUACCGGAUAAUAUAUUGAACCGCAUGGUUCAAUAGUGAAAGACGGCUUUGCUGUCACUUAUAGAUGGAUCCGCGCCGCAUUAGCUAGUUGGUAAGGUAACGGCUUACCAAGGCAACGAUGCGUAGCCGACCUGAGAGGGUGAUCGGCCACACUGGAACUGAGACACGGUCCAGACUCCUACGGGAGGCAGCAGUAGGGAAUCUUCCGCAAUGGGCGAAAGCCUGACGGAGCAACGCCGCGUGAGUGAUGAAGGUCUUCGGAUCGUAAAGCUCUGUUAUUAGGGAAGAACAAAUGUGUAAGUAACUAUGCACGUCUUGACGGUACCUAAUCAGAAAGCCACGGCUAACUACGUG